AGCAAUAGAAAAUUUUCUUUCCUCGAGAAACCGAGAAAACGUUGUUUUGUACGGCUGGUAAUUUUCUUUUCUUCUUCUCUUCUCACUCCCUCUCAACAAAUCAUCUUUUCGCCGCUUUCCCUGUUAAAGAAUUUGUUUAACAAAUAAGGUAUCUCUUAAUAUUUUUUUCUCCUUUUUUUUCAUUUUGAAGAUUUGUAGAUCAACGGUGGAGGGAAAGCGGAUCUUGAUCUGAGAACAUGCUGUUGAUCAGAUGAUUUUUGAACUCAUUAGAUUUUUCGCGUUAUGUUUUAUACCUUAUCACUUUUUUUUUUAUGACGUACCGCGGGUAAAUUUCUUUUCUUCCUCUUCUCUCAUCCAUUUAAUUAACGCGGAGAUUCUUUGCGGAUCGUGAGUCAUCGCUUGCGCUGGUUAUUUGCUCAUCUUGUUCGUUGUUAAACGCUUUUGAUUUCGGUAUCAAUUUGUCUCGGUUUGUACUGUUUGGUUCUCGAGAAAACGUCAGUUAUUUUUUUUUCUUCCUAUUCUCUCAUCCAUUUAAUUAACUUGAAGAUUCUUAGCGGAUCGUGACUUGAUCUCUUGGCUGGUUAUUUGCUCAUCUUGUUCGGUGUUAAACGCUUUUGAUUUCGGCAUCAAUUUAUCUCGGUUUGUACCGUUUGGUUCUCUAGAAAACGUCUGAAAGCAAUAGAAAAUUUUCUUUUCUCGAGAAACCGAGACACGUCGGUUUGUACCGCUGGUAAGUUUCUUUUCUUCUUCUUUCACUCACUCUCAACAAACCAAACGAAUAAUGUAUCUCUUUAUGUUUUUUUUUCUUUUUUCCUUUUUGAAGAUUUGUAGAUCAACGGUGGAGGGAAAGCGGAUCCUGAUAUGAGGACAUGCUGUUGAUCAGAUGAGUUUUGAACUCAUUAGGUUUUUACAUUAUGUUUUAUAACUGAUCACUGUUUUUUUUAUGAUGUGGGUAAUUUUCUUUUCUUCCUCUUCUCUUCUCUCAUCCAUUUAAUUAACGUGGAGAUUCUUCAUGGAUCGUGAUUCGAUCGCUUGCGCUGGUUAUUUGCUCAUCUUGUUCGUUGUUAAACGCUUUUGAUUUCGGCAUCAAUUUGUCCCGGUUUGUACCUUUUGGUUAUCGAGAAAACUCGGAAAGCAAUAGAAAAUUUUCUUUUCUCCAGAAAUUGAGAAAACGUAGGUUUGUACCGCGGGUAAUUUUCUUUUCGUCCUAUUCUCUCAUCCAAUUAAUUAACGCGGAGAUUCUUCACGGAUCGUGACUCACUUGCGCUGGUUUUUUGGUGUUAAACGCUUUUGAUUUCGGCAUCAAUUUGGUCUCCCUUGGUACUGUUU
rnacentral:lncRNA from 1 species